rnacentral:lncRNA from 1 species
GAAAGAAUGCAGCUCAGGGGGCUGUGCCACGGUCCCAAUGGGCUGAACAAGAAAGAGAAGAGAUACACAUGUCAGGGUCGUGGGGUCUCAGCCAACCAGCAUUACUAGAGCAGGAUCCAACCCACAUUAGCCUUGUAAGUAUCAGCCGUGGUUAUUAUUCUAUAUCUACCCUCCCAUCAUGGUCACAGGCUGUGGAGGACAGAGCCACCAGCAGGAGCACUCACGACAGUGCUCCCAUGUGUGACGUCACUGAGUCCUCAUAGUAUUCACCAGGGGUUGAUGCCUUUCUCCCAUUUUACAGAGAGGUAAAGACACUUGCCCAUAGCCACACAGCAAAGAAAGACAGACAGGACCCAGGACCUAAAGAUGGCCACUUCACUGUUAGAAGAAGAAAAAAAAAGAUACAGAGAGAAAACAGAUGUGCACACCACAGACACAGAGUUGGGGCUUUGAGGGGAGGCAGGUGGUGGCCACGUGGUGACUACUGGCUGGGCUGGGCUAGGCUACACUGGUAAGCAGGGGAGCAACCGGGAGCCAGGACAGAGGGGAGAUCAUGGGAGAGGAGGUUGGGACUAUUUUAGUCCCCAGUGGGAGCCUGAUCGAGAACUGGAGAAGGAG